rnacentral:rRNA from 1 species
AACGAACGCUGGCGGCGUGCCUAACACAUGCAAGUCGAGCGAAUGGAUUAAGAGCUUGCUCUUAUGAAGUUAGCGGCGGACGGGUGAGUAACACGUGGGUAACCUGCCCAUAAGACUGGGAUAACUCCGGGAAACCGGGGCUAAUACCGGAUAACAUUUUGAACCGCAUGGUUCGAAAUUGAAAGGCGGCUUCGGCUGUCACUUAUGGAUGGACCCGCGUCGCAUUAGCUAGUUGGUGAGGUAACGGCUCACCAAGGCAACGAUGCGUAGCCGCCCUGGGAGGGGGAUCGGCCACACUGGGACUGAGACACGGCCCAGACUCCUACGGGAGGCAGCAGUAGGGAAUCUUCCGCAAUGGACGAAAGUCUGACGGAGCAACGCCGCGUGAGUGAUGAAGGCUUUCGGGUCGUAAAACUCUGUUGUUAGGGAAGAACAAGUGCUAGUUGAAUAAGCUGACACCUUGACGGUACCUAACCAGAAAGCCACGGCUAACUACGUGCCAGCAGCCGCAGUAA